UGCCAGCCGCCGCGGUAAUACGGAGGGAUCUAGCGUUAUUCGGAAUCAUUGGGCGUAAAGCGUAUGUAGGCGGAUCAAAAAGUUAGAUGUGAAAGCCCUGGGCUCAACCCAGGAACUGCGUUUAAAACUAGUGAUCUAGAAUUUGGUAGGGGUUAGUAGAAUUUCCAGUGUAGAGGUGAAAUUCGUAGAUAUUGGAAAGAAUACCAGUGGCGAAGGCGACUGACUGGGCCAUUUUUGACGCUGAGAUACGAAAGCGUGGGUAGCAAACAGGAUUAGAUA
rnacentral:rRNA from 1 species